UACGUAGGGAGCAAGCGUUGUUCGGAAUUAUUGGGCGUAAAGAGCGCGUAGGCGGUUUGGUGUGUCUGACGUGAAAUCCCGGAGCUUAACUCCGGAACUGCGUUGGAAACUGCCAGACUUGAGUGUGGGAGAGGUGAGUGGAAUUCCCAGUGUAGAGGUGAAAUGCGUAGAUAUUGGGAGGAACACCGGUGGCGAAGGCGGCUCACUGGACCACAACUGACGCUGAGGCGCGAAAGCUAGGGGAGCAAACGGG
rnacentral:rRNA from 1 species